GGGGCUCGGGCCGCCGGGCCGCCGGCCCCGGGGUGGGGCUCGGCUCUCCUCGGCUCCCGCCUGUGUGGCGCGCGACGCUUGGGACACUCCUUCAGCCUUGUGCUGUUUUUGUAUUUCAUGUGUUUACUUCACACGACCGGGUUGGAGACUGCCCGUGUGGCAAGCGGUUUUGAUGCAGUCUCAGAGAUUAAUGAGGACAUGAAGAAUUGAGGUGGCUCAACCCGAAAAGCACAGUCAUUGCAAAGAACAGCUUCUGAUAAUCACUGAACAUACACCAUAUGCCAGGCAUGGUGCCAGGGCUGGGGCUACAAAGGUGAACAGAAGCAGACAAGACCCUGCCCUUGUGGAGCUUAUAGUCUAGGACUCUGCUUCCUGGGCCGGAGUGCAGUGGCUUC